rnacentral:rRNA from 1 species
UACGGAGGGGGCAAGCGUUGUUCGGAAUUAUUGGGCGUAAAGAGUAUGUAGGCGGCUAUUUAAGUCAGACGUGCAAGCCCACGGCUCAACCGUGGAAUUGCGUUUGAAACUAUUUAGCUUGAGUUCAGGAGAGGAAGGCGGAAUUCCCAGUGUAGCGGUGAAAUGCAUUGAUAUUGGGAAGAACACCGGUGGCGAAGGCGGCCUUCUGGUCUGAUACUGACGCUGAGAUACGAAAGCCAGGGGAGCGAACAGG